rnacentral:rRNA from 1 species
UAGCCGCAAUAUUUUGUGCUAAGGUAGCAUAAUCAUUAGUUCACUAAUUAUGAAAUAGAAUGAAUGAUCACACGAAUAAAUUAAUUUCUCUAUUAUUUUUUAAAAAAUUCAUCUUAAAGUUAAAAAGCUUUAUUUUCUAAGAAGGACAACAAGACCCUAAUGAACUUCAUUUUAAAUUUAACUGGGGCGGUUUUAAAGAAUAUCUUCAACUCUUAUUUUUAUCAAACCAAAAUAAUUGAUUUUUCCAAGUUACCAUAGGGAUAACAGCAUAAUAAUUUUUUUAAGCUCUUAUAUAAAAAUAUUUUUAUGACCUCGAUGUUGAAUUAAAUCCCUAAUCUAAGCAAGAUUAGAAAGAUAAGGAAGUCUGUUCGACUUUUAAUUUUUUACAUGAU